UGGGAUUCAGGGUGUGUGGUCCUGCCCAAGGUUGGUCCCGCCCUGAGCUCCAGCCCAGGGGCCCGGCUCCUAUCAGGGGGAAGCGGGGUCACCCCAUAUCUGUGUCUGCCCCACAACUCUGCUCUGAACCAACUUCCUCUGGGCAGCCUGCUACCGUGGAGAUGCUAGUCUCCAGGCCUGAGAUCCGGGCAUGGCACCUAGGAGUCUGCAUUUCAUAAGCUCCCUAGCUGAUCCCAAGAGGCCUGAGGGACUGCUUUAGAUAAACUGCUUGAGAAUUCCCAGCACUUACAGUUGUCUGAUUCCACUUCAUCCUUAUCAGGGCCCAGCAAAAUAAACACUAUGAAGCCCCCUUUUAAAGCAGUUUUUUUGAACCAUGAUUUUAUAUAACACAAAUUCUAGCUGUUACAGGUCUAUCUCAGAAUUGCUAUCAAGAUCCUACCGGGUCUGCAGUUCCUGCACGUGUGGCGUUGGCAUCCGGCGUGCUGGGAAAGCAGUGAGUCUUCUGUCUCGUCCGUCCGUCGUCCACCCACCCACCUGUCUGUCCAUCUCUGCAUCAUCCUUCAGGCAGGCAGAUGCACCCGUAUCGCCUUCUGUUACAGAUGCACCCGUAUUGCCGUCUAUCACUCUGUCCAUCGAUCCAUCUAUGGAUCGUGAAUGUAGACAAAUGUGUUGCUGUUUUCUUUAUUGGAGCUGGGUUUUUACUCACAGCUGGAAGGCCUUUCUCUGCAUGCUGCUUACAGAAGGAUUCACCUGUGUUUGCUUCUGGUAUUUGUAUAUCGAAGCUUCAUACUUCAGGAGCUCUGAUCUUGUGAGUUUAUUCUUCUGCCUGGUGUGAGAAAUGGAUCUAAUUUUAUCUUUUUCCAAACAAUGAUCUACUCGCCUGGCAUCAUGUUACUUGACGGAUCAUGACUGCCGCGGGGAACUGAGAUGCAUCGUUCAUCACACGCUGGACUCCGCUGCCGCGGUCUGGCUCCGUGGCUCUGCGGCUCCGCAGCUCUCCCGUGUCAUCAGCCCUCUGUCUCCA